CCUACGGGACGCAGCAGUGAGGAAUCUUCCACAAUGGGCGAAAGCCUGAUGGAGCAACGCCGCGUGAAGGAUGAAGGCCUUCGGGUUGUAAACUUCUUUUAUGAGUGAAGAAUAUGACGGUAACUCAUGAAUAAGCACCGGCUAACUACGUGCCAGCAGCCGCGGUCAUACGUAGGGUGCGAGCAUUAUCCGGAGUGACUGGGCGUAAAGAGUUGCGUAGGCGGUUUAAUAAGUGAAUAGUGAAACCUGGUGGCUCAACCAUACAGACUAUUAUUCAAACUGUUAAACUCGAGAAUGGUAGAGGG
rnacentral:rRNA from 1 species